rnacentral:lncRNA from 1 species
GGUGUACUUGCUGCAGCAUAUGGAGGACUAUUGCUACCAGUUCAUCUAGCCUCCUGUGAACCCGUCGCAUCAUCAAUUGCAACACUCAACCAGCUGCCUAUUGAGAGAACCAAGUUAAGACCAUGGUUAGAGUCUCUGACGUUGCUCGUUAGAGCAAUGCUGGAUGUAACCAAAUGUAUAAUUAAAUUUGAAAGACUUCCAAUUAAACAAGUGCAGCUAGACAACAACAUUGUGGAUAAAACCUUGUUUAAUGUUUAUUUGGCUACUUACCGGGUAGUCAAAAGUGUGCUUGCAUGCCUGCAGCAAAUCCCUUAUUUCAAGCAAACCCAGCAGGUGCAUUUUAUCCACCCUUCUUUUAUCUCCCUUGAAAAAUUAAAUUGGAAGAGCCGCAGAGAAAUAGUUUAGCAUAUUAGUAGUCAACAUGUAGGUUUCUCAUGGCAAGGAAUUCUCUGAUAUACUUAGGCAACAGAAACAAGAAAAUCAGCCCAUGAACUUUCAACGGAAUCAAGAAGAGCAGCAGGAGAACUUUCUAGUUUGGGAUAUCAGUUGCUCAACUUACAUACCCGCCUUAACAAGCAGGUAGACGAUUGCAGCACACAAAUAGGUAACUUUUUCAAAUAUUCUGAUGUCCAUUUCCAAAAGCAGAGCUUAUAUUAAAAGCAAAACUCAUCUCUGAUGAUGCUUCUCCGUUGUUAUGUCUACAGAGGAAGAAAUCAAUCGAAAGCUUAGAAACAUUAACACAGGCACCCAUCAAGACAACCAAGACGUACUCCACCUACUUUUUUCUCUACAAGAUGAUUUGCCACUUCAACAAUACUCCAGACAAGUACAAAGAACUAUCCUUUUUCUUUUUUCAUGUUCCUUUCUUGUUUCUUUCUUUUUCCUGUCUCUUCUAUUACUUUACAUAAAAAUGAGGUACAAAGAAUGUUCUUUAUCAUCCAACGACAGAUAGCAAUAACUGAGCUGAAAGAAAAAGUAAUACUGCUGCUACUAUCAAAACCACCAGUAGAGCCACUAUUCUUCCUGCUUCAACAGUUAUAUGAUCAUCCAUCGGACACCAACACAGAACAAAACUACGAAAUCAUAUGGAUUCCGAUACCAUCCUCCCAAAAAUGGACAGACGAAGAGAAAGAAAUCUUUGAUUUCUACUCCAAUUCCUUACCGUGGAUCUCAGUAAGGCAGCCAUGGUUGAUGAGCUCCACAAUAGUUAACUUUUUCAUUCGAGAAUGGCAAUAUGGAGACCACGAGGCA